rnacentral:rRNA from 1 species
CUUGGUCAUUUAGAGGAAGUAAAAGUCGUAACAAGGUUUCCGUAGACAAGUAUCUCGGAGGAACAAUAAUGAUCCUUCCGCAGUGUACACUUGUAGAAGCCUCAACAGAUCCAAAAGAUCGAUCAUGCGACUCUAAAUAAAUUGGUCUCUACUUGAACACUUGAGUAGAUGUUAGUUGGAGCGAGAGAAACCCACUCUCUCGAUCCGGGACACCGAUGCACUACGGGGCUAUCCUAAUAAUCUCAGUACGAACCUUGGUAUGAAAGUUCCAGGGGGCUCGAGUUAACUGCUCGAGAUACCGUAAUAACCUGAGAUUUGACGUCUUUACUGACUGAAGUGGAUAAUCCGUAGCUCAUCACCUAAGGCUCUUAGCUAUGGUGAGGAGUUCACAGACUAAGUGACGGUGGGUAUAGGCAAUACGUCCUAUGCUUUAAGUUAUAGCCGGCCCCUCGGAUGAAUCCAAGGGUUGAGUACACUGCGGGGAUGUUCGUUCAAGCAGACACAGAUUGUGAAAAUGUUUUUCUAUCUAUAUUUCCUCCCAAAAUUCCGGCAUGCAUUCACACCAUAGUGCGCGCUGUCAGUAGAUACACAAGUAGCGUCUGAACUGAGGCUGAACUGAACAUGCCCCUUUUAUGCGAAGAAAAUCUGUUCCGUAGGUGAACCUGCGGAAGGAUCAUUAAUGAGUUAGGGUCUUCCGGGCCUGACCUCCAACCCUUUGUGUAACUACCAUGUUGCUUUGGCGGGCCCGUCUUUAACGGGACCGUCGGAGGUUUUUGACCUCUGGCCAGCGCCCGUCAGUAGCCCACUACAAAUACUUUUUUAACCAUGUUAUAUCUGAAAAUAGUUAAAUAAACUAAAACUUUCAACAACGGAUCUCUUGGUUCUGGCAUCGAUGAAGAACGCAGCGAAAUGCGAUAAGUAAUGCGAAUUGCAGAAUUCAGUGAGUCAUCGAAUCUUUGAACGCACAUUGCGCCCUUUAGUAUUCUGAAGGGCAUGCCUGUUCGAGCGUCAUUAUCACUAAUCAAGCUUGGCUUGCUGUUGGGCCCUCUUGUCGUUAAAAAACCGACAGGCCUUAAAAAUAAUGGCGGCGUUACUUGGACCCUAGAUGCAACGAGCUUUCAUUAGCACGCGUUUAGUUGGACCCUUUAACCCAGUCUUUUUUAACCAAUUUUCUAAGGUUGACCUCGGAUCAGGUAGGAAUACCCGCUGAACUUAAGCAUAUCAAUAAGCGGAGGAAAAGAAACCAACAGGGAUUACCUCAGUAACGGCGAGUGAAGCGGUAUUAGCUCAAAUUUGAAAUCUGGCUCUUUUAGAGUCCGAGUUGUAAUUUGUAGAGGAUGUUUCGGGCACGGCUACGGUUUAAAUUUCUUGGAACAGAAUGUCAUAGAGGGUGAGAGUCCCGUCUUGAACCGAUUGCUUCGUCCAUGUGAAACUCCUUCGACGAGUCGAGUUGUUUGGGAAUGCAGCUCAAAAUGGGUGGUAAAUUUCAUCUAAAGCUAAAUAUUGGCCAGAGACCGAUAGCGCACAAGUAGAGUGAUCGAAAGAUGAAAAGCACUUUGAAAAGAGAGUUAAACAGUAUGUGAAAUUGUUGGAAGGGAAGCGCUUGUAAUCAGACUUGAGCUUAACAGUUCCCCCUUCAUUCUUGUUGGGUUAUUCUGUUUUGUCCAGGCCAACAUCAGGUGUUUCAAGA